GUGAGGAAUAUUGGUCAAUGGGCGAGAGCCUGAACCAGCCAAGUAGCGUGCAGGAUGACGGCCCUAUGGGUUGUAAACUGCUUUUAUGCGGGGAUAAAGUGAGGGACGUGUCCCUUUUUGUAGGUACCGCAUGAAUAAGGACCGGCUAAUUCCGUGCCAGCAGCCGCGGUAAUACGGAAGGUCCGGGCGUUAUCCGGAUUUAUUGGGUUUAAAGGGAGCGCAGGCGGGGAGCUAAGCGUGACGUGAAAUGUAGCCGCUCAACGGCUGAACUGCGUCGCGAACUGGCUUUCUUGAGUGAGUACGACGUCAGCGGAAUUCGUGGUGUAGCGGUGAAAUGCUUAGAUAUCACGAAGAACCCCGAUUGCGAAGGCAGCUGACGAGUCCUUUACUGACGCUAAAGCUCGAAGGUGCGGGUAUCGAACAGG
rnacentral:rRNA from 1 species